rnacentral:lncRNA from 1 species
AUGGGGCGGGCACGCUGGGCACCCGCGCCGUGGCGGAAGGCGGCUUGGCACGGGGAGAAGUUUCUCUGCGUAGAGCUGUGGCACGCCGGCUGCGGGAGAGGCUCUGACGGCGCUUCCCGAGAGCGCAGCAGCAGGCGGGGUGGGGUGGGGAUGGAUUUUGGAAGCGGGGAGGGAAGCUCUGCACGGCUUUGGUUUCUCCUCCCCGGGAAUCGUUUGGGAAAUUGGCUCUUCCCUGGGUUCUGCGCCCAAAAGCAAAGCCCUGCCAGGCUGUGCAGGGUGGGCAUCCAUGGGGCACCUGUGGAGCAGGCACUGGAGGUCAGAGCCAGCCCCGUGCCCACGGAUGCUGCUGGCUCGCACCCACCCCUCGCCCAAGCCCUUUCUGUCCCUGGCAGAGAUGCCCAGCUCCUUCCACCGGGCAGAGCAGCCAGGAGCUGUGAUCCCCCCAGGUGCCCCUCGCAGGUGCUUUGCCCUCCCGCUGCCACGCCGAGGCACUGCCCAGGGCCAGCGGUGUGUGGUGGCAGCUUGGUGACCCCGGGGGGCUUUUGGUCGAGUCGGGGUCUGGAUCUGUCUGUGCUGAGCUCCAGCAAAGCCCAUCCUGGUGCGCAGGGCCACCGAGGCAUGCAGCACCACCCAGGCCAGGGAGCAGCAGCCCCCGCUGUCCCCCCUCCCUCCCUCCCAGCCCCCCCGGCAGCACCGGUGCCGCCGCUCCGCUGCGUGUCAGAUCCGUUGGCAUCAGCACUUCUCGCCUCCGCCGGGCCGAUCUCACGGCAUCUCCGGCUCACGCGGCGCUUAGGAAACCAUCAUCCCUCUCACAUUUCCCUGCGCGCUCGCUCGUGCUCGGGAGUGCCUGGUGGCUCUGCAGCCCCCCCCUCCCCAACCCCCCCAGCCCUAGCCCCCUGCUCCCAGCCCUUCCCAUCCCCGGCACACGCAGGAGACCCGCGGGGAAAGCAGCGCUGCGUUUGCCACGCGCUCCCCGGGGCUGUGUCCCCACCCGUGCCACCCCCAGCCCCGCCGCCCUGCUGCGCCCCAGGCAGCACCCGUGGCUGGGGACGAGCCAGGAGCUCUGAGCUCAGCUUCUCUGUCUAA